AGAGAAGCUAAGGCUUGGCGCCACCAUGUGGCAGGGUUACAGUCCCUAAAACGAGACCAGGAGAGCAUUGGUGAAAAUGCAGCCUCUGGAAACCUCAGGGUGCCAGGACUCUGAAACAAUCACCAAGGGUGGAAACAGCUGUGGAAUUUGUCUGGCCUGAGCCUCCAAGAAAAGCUGUGUGCUUUGUGGAUGGAAGAACUUGAAAAAGGAGCUGCCCAGGCUCAUUGGAGCCCAGAGGAUUGUGACUGCAUACCAGAUGUCCAACCCUGAACUUUUUGCACUGUUGAUGUUUGGUUUUUCUCGUUACAGUUGUAACCAUGCCCUGGAUCUUUCCUCUUAAGUAACAACACGUGGCAUGGGACAGGAGUUCCUCUACCAUGUGUCAUGAGUUAGAGUGUGUGGAAGCAAAGUCCCCUGAGGCUGCUACUCUGAACUCCAAACACUGCUGCAGCCCUCACAACUGAGCCUAGCCGAUACAGUUUAUAAUAUCAGACAGACUGCCAGAUCCUGACAGUGACCCAAAGUCUCCAAAGAAGUUUAUGAGGCACCCCAGUUCCUG
rnacentral:lncRNA from 1 species